ACUCGCGUCCAUGUUCACCCACAACCGCACACACUGUGCGGAAUUGGAACACAAGCGAAAGCGAAAUUCCACACCGCGUCCGUACCGCGCCUGUGUGUAUGGUUUAAACGCGGAAAAGCGCUACGCGAAUAUUCCGCAAAUCCGUCCCGCAUUUCUGCAUCGUGGCAGUGAGAAUGAACCCACUCCAAACACGUGCAGGUUAAUUGGUGACUCUAAACUUUACGUAGGUGUGAAUAUGAGCUGUUUGUUUGUUUGUUUGUUUGUCUCUAUGGGUCAGCCAUGUGAUGAACUGGCGACCUGUCCAAGGUAUACUCCGCGUUUCACCCAAUGUCAGCUGGGAUCGGUUCCAGCCCCGCGCGACCCUGUAAAGGAUAAGCUUGAUUUAAAAAAUAUUUUAAGUGUGUUUUUUUUUCCUCUCUGAAUUUUCAGUAUCUAAUUGCAUCCUCUCCCGUUUGCAGGUGAAGGAGAUACCUUUAGCUGCUGUUGAAGCUUGCGUCUACUUUUGAGUACAUGAUUCACCAUAUCAUUAUAUGUCCUGAAUGAUGGUCCAUUGAUCAUUUGUGCUCCCUCCUGUCUGGACAAGGCUUUGUACUCAUAACAGAUUCUGGCCUUUAUCUGCUCCCUCCCUCAUUAAUGUGGUGUAGGCGGCACUGCUGAGCUUGCACAUGAAUGAAACUGUCAAAAGAAAGAGGGAGUGCGUCCUGAAGGCACUUUGUGUCUAUCUGAAUGAAGACCCAGACAUCCUCUUCAAGGAAUACCUGGUUAGUAAUAUUAAUUGUUUUCACCUCUAUUCAACCAAUUAUUGAAUAACUAAUGUUGUUACUUAAUUAUAAUUGCUUGGAAUUAGUUUGUUUAAACUUAUUUUGAAAUCUAAUAUAUACCUUAACCUUGCAUUUUAUUAGGGACACCUGUGCAAUCUAAUGUAAGCCAAUACAAUUACUUUUAUGAAGCUUACACAGUUUAAUUUUUUCUGACAUUGUCAGAAAAAUAAUUUGACUUUACUUAUAACUGAGGUAGUAGUGGGUGGCGGUAGUGCAGUUUUAUUGAUAAGUGUUCUUAAUAUUGUCUACCAGAGCAUGUAAGUGGAGUGGUGCAGUGAGAAUUUCCUCUCCUCACUCAUGGAGCUGUUUAUCUGUGCUCUCCAGCUCAGUACUGCUACUCACUAGAUCAUAUAAACAUAUUAGGAAGACUUGUUAACACAAUGUAAACACAAACAAAAUGUCUAAGCUUAGUAAAAGUAAAAGCAGUGCUGUUCCAAAUAAAGUACCAAGUGAGUUGACAUUAAAUAAUGCUAUUCAAUUCUGCAAAAUCUGUUUGUGAUUUCAUAGUGUGUUGUUUUUUUUUGUUUUUUUUUUGUCGUGUCUUUCUGUCCCAUGUAAAGGAUUCCGAUCCUACUACUCGGGGAGGUUGAACAAAUUCCCCAUGGCAUCUACAGCAUCACUGUUGAAGGAGGUGAUGCCGCCACUCCUCCAGCUGAUGUGGGAAUUGUGAUCGAGUGUGUUGAAGUUCUACAUGACUUGGGAGACAUUGCCACUGCAUGUGCACUCUUGAUGGGUGUAAUCUAUGCACUGAACCUCAGUUAUCCUCAAGAACUGAAAGGCUUCUUUGAAGUGCUUCAGAAGAUCUUUCUUCAACUGGAUGCUUCAAGACUCUCAACAAAGGUACAGAUGCUCAAAAACAAACUGUUUGAAUGAGCCAACCAUUGAUUUGCAUACUGAAUGUUUUGCGGAAUAGGCACAAUUCUAUUUUGGAUCAAAACUGAAUAAAGUGAAAAGUAGUCUUGUGGUAAAAUUGAGUUCCAAGUUACAAGAAUUGAGAAGUGAAUUGAAAGGCCAAUGUUGACAGCAGCAAGUGUGGUGUUAGAUUUUUAGACCAUUAUGCUGUUUGAAUUUUUUUUGAAAACACCAAGCCUGUCAUGUUAGACCAAAAUAUUGUCAAAAGGAUGUUUUUUGUUCUAUGUUGUAUGUGUUAUGCUGCAUAAAGGCAGUUUACAGAUGUCCAUGGACUAUCGUGUACCAUAAUGUUGCCAACUGAGUUUAUUUGGAUGGAUGCAACAAAUGGUUAUUUUCAUUAGUGAUUAAUCUGUCCAUUUUUUUCUAUUGGUUGUCACUUUGAGAAUCUGUGAUUGGCAUUUUUGACUUGAUACACCAAGGUGUAAAACCUUAUGUUUUAUUUUGUCACAACCAAUAGUCCACAACCCAAAGAUAGGUGGUUUACUGUCAGAGGACUAAAUAAACUCAAUAAAGAAAGUAUUUACAUUUAAAGGGAUAGUUUGGGUUUUUUGAAGAGGGGUUGUAUGAAGUACUUGUACAUAGUCAGUGUAUACCUGCGUUAAAAAUGUCAUAAUGUUGUUUUUGGACCAAGUGCACCAAAAUGCUAAUGUUAAAUGCGUUGGUGAAUAAAGGAAUUAACAAAAAUA